rnacentral:rRNA from 1 species
AUGAGGCCUGCAGGCGGCGGGUCCGGGCAAGGGGCAAGGUCCACGCGGGUGCGGUGGAUCUGGCCAGUCCGAGGGUCACGGAGGCUAUUCCCGGCGGCGAGGAACUCUGGCGGGACGGACUUGAGGUGUUCGGCAAGGGGAUCAGCCAUGGCGUGGAGCUCCUGGUUCCUGCGGGGCAGAGAGAAAAUGUUGAGAGAAGAGAGAGAUGCUGGGAUGGAAAAAGAAGAAAGGGAGGAGAGGCGACGAGGCCUGCUUGGAGUGGUUGCCGGCGGCGAGCUUCGUCGGGGCAGCGGGGUCGCGAGGAGGUCGGAGGUGACAAGGGUGCGGACGAAGGAGCUCGGGCUGCAAGAGAGGGCUCGUCUCCUUGCGCGGGUGCACGAGGCAGGGCCUCUGGCAGUAACUUGGUGGGAUCGAGGGGAGGAGAGGAGUGCUCCGGCUGGAUGGAUUGAUGGAACAAAAAGGAAGGAAUUGGGGAUGGAUCCCGAGAGAUUUCGAGUGGGUGGCGGUGGCGGACACGGGAUGGAUGGGACAGAUCCCUAG